GAUGAACGCUAGCGGGAGGCUUAACACAUGCAAGUCGAGGGGCAGCAUAGGGUAGCAAUACUCUGAUGGCGACCGGCAGACGGGUGAGUAACGCGUAUGUAACCUACCCUGUACAGGGGGAUAACCCGGAGAAAUUCGGAUUAAUACCCCAUAAAGAUAUUAGAAGGCAUCUUUUGAUAUUUAAAGUUUCGGCGGUACGGGAUGGGCAUGCGUAACAUUAGCUAGUUGGUAGGGUAACGGCCUACCAAGGCAACGAUGUUUAGGGGUCCUGAGAGGGUGAUCCCCCACACUGGUACUGAGACACGGACCAGACUCCUACGGGUGGCUG
rnacentral:rRNA from 1 species